rnacentral:rRNA from 1 species
UUAAGCGACCAAGCGUACACGGUGGAUGCCCUGGCAGUCAGAGGCGAUGAAGGACGUGCUAAUCUGCGAAAAGCGCCGGUAAGGUGAUAUGAACCGUUAUAACCGGCGAUGUCCGAAUGGGGAAACCCAGUGUGACUCGUCACACUAUCAUUAACUGAAUCCAUAGGUUAAUGAGGCGAACCGGGGGAACUGAAACAUCUAAGUACCCCGAGGAAAAGAAAUCAACCGAGAUUCCCCCAGUAGCGGCGAGCGAACGGGGAGGAGCCCAGAGCCUGAAUCAGCAUGUGUGUUAGUGGAAGCGUCUGGAAAGGCGCGCGAUACAGGGUGACAGCCCCGUACACAAAAGCGCAUGUGCUGUGAGCUCGAUGAGUAGGGCGGGACACGUGGUAUCCUGUCUGAAUAUGGGGGGACCAUCCUCCAAGGCUAAAUACUCCUGACUGACCGAUAGUGAACCAGUACCGUGAGGGAAAGGCGAAAAGAACCCCGGCGAGGGGAGUGAAAAAGAACCUGAAACCGUGUACGUACAAGCAGUGGGAGCACAGGUUUACCUGUGUGACUGCGUACCUUUUGUAUAAUGGGUCAGCGACUUAUAUUCUGUAGCAAGGUUAACCGAAUAGGGGAGCCGGAGGGAAACCGAGUCUUAACCGGGCGUUAAGUUGCAGGGUAUAGACCCGAAACCCGGUGAUCUAGCCAUGGGCAGGUUGAAGGUUGGGUAACACUAACUGGAGGACCGAACCGACUAAUGUUGAAAAAUUAGCGGAUGACCUGUGGCUGGGGGUGAAAGGCCAAUCAAACCGGGAGAUAGCUGGUUCUCCCCGAAAGCUAUUUAGGUAGCGCCUCGUGAAUUCAUCUCCGGGGGUAGAGCACUGUUUCGGCCAGGGGGCCAUCCCGGCUUACCAACCCGAUGCAAACUGCGAAUACCGGAGAAUGUUAUCACGGGAGACACACGGCGGGUGCUAACGUCCGUCGUGAAGAGGGAAACAACCCAGACCGCCAGCUAAGGUCCCAAAGUCAUGGUUAAGUGGGAAACGAUGUGGGAAGGCCCAGACAGCCAGGAUGUUGGCUUAGAAGCAGCCAUCAUUUAAAGAAAGCGUAAUAGCUCACUGGUCGAGUCGGCCUGCGCGGAAGAUGUAACGGGGCUAAACCAUGCACCGAAGCUGCGGCAGCGAACGUAUCACUUAAAGCGAUUCAGCGGAUGACGAUUGACGGAGCGAAGCGACGUCAAAGCGUUUUACAACGUCGAGUCGGUUUAAGGAUACGUUCGUUGGGUAGGGGAGCGUUCUGUAAGCCUGCGAAGGUGGCCUGUGAGGGUUGCUGGAGGUAUCAGAAGUGCGAAUGCUGACAUAAGUAACGAUAAUGCGGGUGAAAAACCCGCACGCCGGAAGACCAAGGGUUCCUGUCCAACGUUAAUCGGGGCAGGGUGAGUCGACCCCUAAGGCGAGGCCGAAAGGCGUAGUCGAUGGGAAACAGGUUAAUAUUCCUGUACCUGGUGUUACUGCGAAGGGGGGACGGAGAAGGCUAUGUUGGCCGGGCGACGGUUGUCCCGGUUUAAGCGUGUAGGCUGGUUUUCCAGGCAAAUCCGGAAAAUCAAGGCUGAGGCGUGACGACGAGGCACUACGGUGCUGAAGCAACAAAUGCCCUGCUUCCAGGAAAAGCCUCUAAGCCUCAGGUAACAUCAGAUCGUACCCGAAACCGACACAGGUGGUCAGGUAGAGAAUACCAAGGCGCUUGAGAGAACCCGGGUGAAGGAACUAGGCAAAAUGGUGCCGUAACUUCGGGAGAAGGCACGCUGACACGUAGGUGAAGCGGUUUACCCGUGGAGCUGAAGUCAGUCGAAGAUACCAGCUGGCUGCAACUGUUUAUUAAAAACACAGCACUGUGCAAACACGAAAGUGGACGUAUACGGUGUGACGCCUGCCCGGUGCCGGAAGGUUAAUUGAUGGGGUCAGCGCAAGCGAAGCUCCUGAUCGAAGCCCCGGUAAACGGCGGCCGUAACUAUAACGGUCCUAAGGUAGCGAAAUUCCUUGUCGGGUAAGUUCCGACCUGCACGAAUGGCGUAAUGAUGGCCAGGCUGUCUCCACCCGGGACUCAGUGAAAUUGAACUCGCUGUGAAGAUGCAGUGUACCCGCGGCAAGACGGAAAGACCCCGUGAACCUUUACUAUAGCUUGACACUGAACACUGGUCCUUGAUGUGCAGGAUAGGUGGGAGGCUUUGAAGUGUGGACGCCAGUCUGCAUGGAGCCGUCCUUGAAAUACCACCCUUUAAUGGCUGGUGUUCUAACGUAGACCCGUGAACCGGGUUGCGGACAGUGUCUGGUGGGUAGUUUGACUGGGGCGGUCUCCUCCUAAAGCGUAACGGAGGAGCACGAAGGUUGGCUAAUCCUGGUCGGACAUCAGGAGGUUAGUGCAAUGGCAUAAGCCAGCUUGACUGCGAGCGUGACGGCGCGAGCAGGUGCGAAAGCAGGUCAUAGUGAUCCGGUGGUUCUGAAUGGAAGGGCCAUCGCUCAACGGAUAAAAGGUACUCCGGGGAUAACAGGCUGAUACCGCCCAAGAGUUCAUAUCGACGGCGGUGUUUGGCACCUCGAUGUCGGCUCAUCACAUCCUGGGGCUGAAGUAGGUCCCAAGGGUAUGGCUGUUCGCCAUUUAAAGUGGUACGCGAGCUGGGUUUAGAACGUCGUGAGACAGUUCGGUCCCUAUCUGCCGUGGGCGCUGGAGAACUGAGGGGGGCUGCUCCUAGUACGAGAGGACCGGAGUGGACGCAUCACUGGUGUUCGGGUUGUCAUGCCAAUGGCACUGCCCGGUAGCUAAAUGCGGAAGAGAUAAGUGCUGAAAGCAUCUAAGCACGAAACUUGCCCCGAGAUGAGUUCUCCCUGAGACUACAAGUCUCCUGAAGGAACGUUGAAGACGACGACGUUGAUAGGCCGGGUGUGUAAGCGCAGCGAUGCGUUGAGCUAACCGGUACUAAUGAACCGUGAGGCUUAACCUU